GCCACCAUAGCUCAACAGGCAGAGCAGCUGACUUGUAAUCAGCAGGUUGAUGGUUCGAUUCCUUCUGGUGGCUCCA
rnacentral:tRNA from 1 species